rnacentral:sRNA from 1 species
GGAAACCUGAGAUUUUUCCCUGAAGUCUGUGUCAUUAAUAUGAAGAAUGAUGAUGGUGUUGUAAUGUGUAGGGAAUUUUGUUUUCCGUUUUGAGAUUUUUUUAAUAAUAAGAAUUGUUUCUUUGAUGUUAUUCACUUGUUAAUUGUUAUUGUUCAAGAUUAACACAGAUUAACUACAAUUAGACGUCCGUGUCUUUUUGAUCUCAGUUGUUUGUCAAUAUUUAAUCUGAAAAAUAGCUUACACACAGCAUGGUAGUCAGUUAAUCCUUUAUAACUGUCAAGUAGUUCAAUUAUUAAAAGUUUAAAUUCUUUC